CUGAAGGACUGCACACCAUGGAAGAGAUCCACGCUGGAGCAGCUCAGGAAGAACUGAAGCCUGUGGAAAUGACCCACGCUGGAGUCUUGGCAAUGCUGGCGCUUCCAGGGCAUUCCUGCCAGCUGGGUUUUCCUGACAACAUUCAUUAGCAGUUGCACUGGGAUUGCACAGCCAGGUUUUGGUAGCAGGGGGCUACAGCACUGCAGCACCUUUUAUGAGAAGGUUCCAGAAGCUCCCCCAUGUCCUGCAGAGCCAAUGCCAGCAGGCUCCAAGAUGGAGAGAGGAGCCCAUGGUGGAGCAGGUUUCCUGGAAGGACUUGUGACCCUAUGGGGAACCCACACCGGAGCAGCCUAUUCUUGGAGGACUACACGCCAUGGAAAAGGGACCCACACUGGAGCAGUUUGUGGGGAACUCUCUCCCAUGGGAGGGACCCCGUGGUGGAGCAGGGCAAGGACUCUUCUCCCUGAGCAGCAGCAGGAGCAACCUGUGAUAAACUGACUGUAACCCCCAGUCCCUGUCUCCCUGCUCUGCUGGGGAAGGAGGUAGAGCCUGGGAAGGAAGGAGUG